GAUGAACGCUAGCGGCAGGCCUAAUACAUGCAAGUCGAACGAGAUUAAGAGGCUUGCUUCUUAUGAAAGUGGCGCACGGGUGCGUAACGCGUAUGCAACCUACCUUAAUCAGGGGGAUAGCCCGAAGAAAUUCGGAUUAAGACCGCAUAAAAACACAGGAUAGCAUUAUCCAAUGUUCAAAUAUUUAUAGGAUUAAGAUGGGCAUGCGUGUCAUUAGCUAGUUGGCGGGGUAACGGCCCACCAAGGCGACGAUGACUAGGGGAUCUGAGAGGAUGACCCCCCACACUGGUACUGAGACACGGACCAGACUCCUACGGGAGGCAGCAGUAAGGAAUAUGGGUCAAUGGAGGGAACUCUGAACCAGCCAUGCCGCGUGCAGGAAGACAGCCCUCUGGGUCGUAAACUGCUUUUAUUCGGGAAUAAACCUUUCUACGUGUAGGAAGCUGAAUGUACCGAAGGAAUAAGGAUCGGCUAACUCCGUG
rnacentral:rRNA from 1 species